UGCAGCUCACAAAGCUCUGUGAGGGAGGGCCCCAAUGUCUGAUUUGUAUUUGUCCCCCCGGCAGCUGCUGAUUCAUGACCAAGCCCCAGAAGACUGAAGUUCAAUUCCAUUAUUGCCUUUUUCUAAUCAUGCCAUCGGUCCAUUUCUUCAGCCAUUUGGUGAUCAUUACAACACCUUAUAGGGUUGCUGGUGGCAUUAAAUCAGACGGUACGAGUAAGAAUACUCUGUAAACACUGUAAAGUAGGGGACAAAUAUAGGGGCUUACACAUCUCCUGAAUAUUACUGCUUGUCCUUUCAACAGUUAAGAGAAUACCAGCGGCAAAAGAGGCUAGCUGCUACCACUGAAGAAAAACCCGUCCAAACUGGCAGUAGGCCCCAGCCCACCACUGGGGAUUGCCAGUCACCUCAGGAGCCCCCAUCAUCCAUCGGUGGGGAGGCCUUGAGGACGUCAACUUACACAAAGGAGCUGGAGAGCCAGUGCCUAGUUUUGGAGGCAGCCCUGGACUCCACCUACGCAGUCAAAAACUACCUAACAAGUGUGGUGCAGGAAUUGCAGGAGAGGAGGGCUGAGCAAGUGAACUCCCUGCGGGAACAACUGCAGGCUGCGAUUCACACCAGUGAGACCUUAAAGGCC